GGUGGGGUUGCAGAGCGGUCAAAUGCAGUAGACUGUAAAUCUACCGGCCAUGCCUUCGGAGGUCCGAAUCCUCCCCCCACCACCA
rnacentral:tRNA from 1 species